GAUGAACGCUGGCGGCGUGCCUAAUACAUGCAAGUCGAGCGAACGGACGAGAAGCUUGCUUCUCUGAUGUUAGCGGCGGACGGGUGAGUAACACGUGGAUAACCUACCUAUAAGACUGGGAUAACUUCGGGAAACCGUAGCUAAUACCGGAUAAUAUUUUGAACCGCAUGGUUCAAAAGUGAAAGACGGUCUUGCUGUCACUUAUAGAUGGAUCCGCGCUGCAUUAGCUAGUUGGUAAGGUAACGGCUUACCAAGGCAACGAUGCAUAGCCGGCCUGAGAGGGUGAUCGGCCACACUGGAACUGGGACACGGUCCAGACUCCUACGGGAGGCAGCAGUAGGGAAUCUUACGCAAUGGGCGAAAGCCUGACGGAGCAACGCCGCGUGAGUGAUGAAGGUCUUCGGAUCGUAAAACUCUGUUAUUAGGGAAGAACAUAUGUGUAAGUAACUGUGCACAUCGUGACGGUACCUAAUCAGAAAGCCACGGCUAACUACGUG
rnacentral:rRNA from 1 species